rnacentral:rRNA from 1 species
AGAGUUUGACUGUCCUGGCUCAGGAUGAACGCUGGCGGCGUGCCUAAUACAUGCAAGUCGAACGAGGCCCUCUUCCUUCGGGAGGAGGUGUCCUAGUGGCGAACGGGUGAGUAACACGUUGGUGACCUACCCCGAAGAGGGCGCGGACAACCCCGGGAAACUGGGGCUAAUACCCCAUGUGAUCCUAAGGACUAGAUGCCUAAGGAUGAAAUGGAGCAAUUCGCUUCGGGAGGGGCCUGCGGCCUAUCAGCUAGUUGGUGAGGUAAUGGCUCACACCCAAGGCGACGACGGGUAGGGGACCUGAGAGGGUGGUCCGCCUCACUGGGACUGAGACACUGCCCAGACUCCUACGGGAGGCUGCAGUCGCGAAUCAUUCGCAAUGCGCGCAAGCGUGACGAUGCGACGAGGCCGCGUGGGCGAUGAAGGCCUUCGGGUUGUAAAGCCCUGUCAGGGGUGAGGAAAGCUACGGGUCCACUCGUAGUUGACUUAAGCCCCAGAGGAAGUCACGGCUAACUCCGUGCCAGCAGCCGCGGUAAU